rnacentral:rRNA from 1 species
AGAGUUUGAUCAUGGCUCAGGAUGAACGCUGGCGGCGUGCCUAACACAUGCAAGUCGAGCGAUCUUCUUCGGAAGAGAGCGGCGGACGGGUGAGUAACGCGUGGGUAACCUGCCUCAUACACAUGGAUAACAUACCGAAAGGUAUGCUAAUACAAGAUGAUAUAAGAGAUUCGCAUGGAUUUCUUAUCAAAGCUCCGGCGGUAUGAGAUGGACCCGCGUCUGAUCAGCUAGUUGGUAAGGUAACGGCUUACCAAGGCGACGAUCAGUAGCCGACCUGAGAGGGUGAUCGGCCACAUUGGAACUGAGACACGGUCCAAACUCCUACGGGAGGCAGCAGUGGGGAAUAUUGCACAAUGGGCGAAAGCCUGAUGCAGCAACGCCGCGUGAGCGAUGAAGGCCUUCGGGUCGUAAAGCUCUGUCCUCAAGGAAGAUAAUGACGGUACUUGAGGAGGAAGCCCCGGCUAACUACGUGCCAGCAGCCGCGGUAAUACGUAGGGGGCUAGCGUUAUCCGGAUUUACUGGGCGUAAAGGGUGCGUAGGUGGUUUCUUAAGUCAGGAGUGAAAGGCUACGGCUCAACCGUAGUAAGCUCUUGAAACUGGGAAACUUGAGUGCAGGAGAGGAAAGUGGAAUUCCUAGUGUAGCGGUGAAAUGCGUAGGUAUUAGGAGGAACACCAGUAGCGAAGGCGGCUUUCUGGACUGUAACUGACACUGAGGCACGAAAGCGUGGGGAGCAAACAGGAUUAGAUACCCUGGUAGUCCACGCCGUAAACGAUGAGUACUAGGUGUCGGGGGUUACCCCCCUCGGUGCCGCAGCUAACGCAUUAAGUACUCCGCCUGGGGAGUACGCUCGCAAGAGUGAAACUCAAAGGAAUUGACGG